rnacentral:misc_RNA from 1 species
AACGCACAUUGCGCCCGCCAGCACUCUGGCGGGCAUGCCUGUCCGAGCGUCAUUUCAACCCUCGAACCCCCUCCCUCGCGGCGGGGAUCGGUGUUGGGGACCGGCCGACCCCCCCGCCUCUCCCAGGCGGUCGCGGUCGCCGCCCCCGAAAUACAGUGGCGGUCCCGCCGCGGCCUCCCCUGCGCAGUAGCCUCGCACGCUCGCACCGGAGGGCGGCGCGUCCACGCCGUCAGAAGCGCCACGCGCAAGGUUGACCUCGGAUCAGGUAGGGAUACCCGCUGAACUUAA